rnacentral:rRNA from 1 species
UUGUCUCCUGCGGAUGCCACAGAGUACAGGAGCAUUGUUGGUGGACUUCAGUACUUGACGAUCACGAGACCAGAUAUCUCUUAUGCUGUUAACAGGGUUUGUCAGUAUCUUCAGACUCUCAGAGAUACUCAUUGGGCUGCUGUUAAACGCAUUCUUCGUUAUGUUCAGUUCACCCUGACAUUUGGUAUGCAUAUUCGGCCGACUUCCUCUCGGGUCCUUUCAGCCUUCUCUGAUGCAGAUUGGGCUGGUAGCCCAGAUGACAGGCGAUCCACGGGGGGUUAUGCAGUAUUCUUUGGCCCUAAUUUGAUCGCCUGGAGUGCUCGGAAACAGGCUACUGUGUCACGUAGCAGUACUGAAGCUGAGUACAAGGCUGUGGCUAAUGCUACUGCAGAGAUUAUUUGGGUGCAGUCUUUGCUUCAGGAGUUGGGUUUGUCUCAACCACAGCCUCCUAUUCUUUGGUAUGAUAACAUCGGUGCUACAUAA